rnacentral:rRNA from 1 species
UGGGGAAUAUUGCGCAAUGGGGGGAACCCUGACGCAGCCAUGCCGCGUGAAUGAAGAAGGCCUUCGGGUUGUAAAGUUCUUUCGGUAUUGAGGAAGGUUGAUGUGUUAAUAGCACAUCAAAUUGACGUUAAAUACAGUAGAAGCACCGGCUAACUCCGUGCCAGCAGCCGCGGUAAUACGGAGGGUGCGAGCGUUAAUCGGAAUAACUGGGCGUAAAGGGCACGCAGGCGGUUAUUUAAGUGAGGUGUGAAAGCCCCGGGCUUAACCUGGGAAUUGCAUUUCAGACUGGGUAACUAGAGUACUUUAGGGAGGGGUAGAAUUCCACGUGUAGCGGUGAAAUGCGUAGAGAUGUGGAGGAAUACCGAAGGCGAAGGCAGCCCCUUGGGAAUGUACUGACGCUCAUGUGCGAAAGCGUGGGGAGCAAACAGGAUUAGAUACCCUGGUAGUCCACGCUGUAAACGCUGUCGAUUUGGGGGUUGGGGUUUAACUCUGGCGCCCGUAGCUAACGUGAUAAAUCGACCGCCUGGGGAGUACGGCCGCAAGGUUA